rnacentral:rRNA from 1 species
AGCCCAGCUUGCUGGGUGGAUUAGUGGCGAACGGGUGAGUAACACGUGGGUGAUCUGCCCUGCACUUCGGGAUAAGCCUGGGAAACUGGGUCUAAUACCGGAUAGGACCUCGGGAUGCAUGUUCCGGGGUGGAAAGGUUUUCCGGUGCAGGAUGGGCCCGCGGCCUAUCAGCUUGUUGGUGGGGUAACGGCCCACCAAGGCGACGACGGGUAGCCGGCCUGAGAGGGCGACCGGCCACACUGGGACUGAGACACGGCCCAGACUCCUACGGGAGGCAGCAGUGGGGAAUAUUGCACAAUGGGCGCAAGCCUGAUGCAGCGACGCCGCGUGAGGGAUGACGGCCUU